rnacentral:rRNA from 1 species
ACGAACGCUGGCGGCGUGCUUAACACAUGCAAGUCGAACGGUGAAGCGCCUUCCUUUUUGGUGGGUGUGGAUGAGUGGCGCACGGGUGAGUAACACGUGAGUAACCUGCCCCCUUCUUCUGGAUAACCGCAUGAAAGUGUGGCUAAUACGGGAUAUUCUGGGUCUGUCGCAUGAUGGGUCUGGGAAAGAUUUUGUUUCGGUGGGGGAUGGGCUCGCGGCCUAUCAGCUUGUUGGUGGGGUGAUGGCCUACCAAGGCGGUGACGGGUAGCCGGCCUGAGAGGGUGGACGGUCACACUGGGACUGAGACACGGCCCAGACUCCUACGGGAGGCAGCAGUGGGGAAUAUUGCACAAUGGGCGCAAGCCUGAUGCAGCGACGCCGCGUGAGGGAUGGAGGCCUUCGGGUUGUGAACCUCUUUCGCCAGUGAAGCAGGCCUGCCUCGUUUGUGGGUGGGUUGACGGUAGCUGGAGAAGAAGCGCCGGCUAACUACGUG